rnacentral:rRNA from 1 species
UACGUAGGGUGCAAGCGUUGUCCGGAAUUAUUGGGCGUAAAGAGCUCGUAGGCGGUUUGUCGCGUCUGCCGUGAAAGUCCGGGGCUCAACUCCGGAUCUGCGGUGGGUACGGGCAGACUAGAGUGAUGUAGGGGAGACUGGAAUUCCUGGUGUAGCGGUGAAAUGCGCAGAUAUCAGGAGGAACACCGAUGGCGAAGGCAGGUCUCUGGGCAUUAACUGACGCUGAGGAGCGAAAGCGUGGGGAGCGAACAGG